GCAAGCUCGAGCUCUCUCAGCCUGAGAGAGAGAGAGAAACCGGACGACCCUCAAGGCAAUCCGACCACAACUCCAGCGUCCGGACACCGAUCGACGACGCAAGACCACCAAUCUCUUCCUCUCGUCGUCGCCGUCACACCUGUGGUCUUUGGUUGCCCAUGCACCGGACAAGGAGGGAGAAACGUCAGUGAGAAGGUCUGAGUCUCUCCGGCGGGUCUGCAAUUUCCGGCCACCGUCGGAGCUGCAAGUGGUAUGAAAAACUAUCUCCUCGUCAUGCUCUUCAAGUCUGUGCAAUUAGUUUCAAUUUGGAUUACGUUUUGACCAUCUCGUUUUUGGGUUCCUCUCUGCUUCGACGCCGUCACCGACGCCAGCGACUUCCCAGUCCUUUCUGGCUUCGUCUCCUCUUCGAUUUCAGGUCUAGGUGAGUUGGUGUGAAGUUUCUGGGAUUGUAGCUCGAGAAAUCAUUAGUUCAUCACCAUUCCAGCUUCUGUAGUGAGCUCGGGAAGCUGAUCGAGUUUGGGUCGAUUCAAGGGAUUUCCGAUUUCGAAGUUACCCGAGGAACGGAAGGUUCGCGACUCUCGGAGUGCGUGAAAGAAAGCAUCGGAAUCCAGUGUGGAUGCAGGUACUGUGCACUGGUGACGGGACAAUAGCGGACGGAGCUGGGUGUGCGGAACAAGUUCGGUAAAUUUUGUCGUUUAGACCUUGUUUUAAAUUCUAUUUCUCGAACUUCGUAUUCCGAGACUUGUUGAUAGUUAGCCUUGUGUCAAUUUUGGUUGAGUUCUCAUUUCCUUGAAGUUUGUAUCUCGUGUGUGAGAAUUCAUUUCAAGUUCUAGACGAAUGAAAUAAACUUUAGCAACUCAAGGAUUUUCACCUCAAAAAUAUUUGUAGCUUCCGCUGUGUUUAUACGAAAAGUUUUCAAACAAAAUGCCUAGCGGUUCUCUAGAAUGUAAAUCGAGCGUUCGGUUUAUGUUUUAGAGGGUCGCGGCACUGUGACGUGCUUAAGCUGGUGAGGUGCAGCUUGGGACG